AGACUUACCUGAACGGGGUCAAUGAGCGAUCAGUAAGACCCGUGGCCUAGGUUGGUAACUUCCAUUGCACUUUGGAAGGGUGCUUGUCUAAGGUCGGCCCAAGCGGACGAGCCUACGUCAUAAUUUGUAGCAGAGGGAUACUGCGUUCGUGCGGCCCCUAC
rfam:Capsicum annuum cultivar Zunla-1 chromosome 5, whole genome shotgun sequence